AGAGCUCACAGCCCGCUUGCUGCCGCUUCACGUGGCCGCACCCCCCCCCCGCCCCCAACCUCAUCUGCCACUUGCUCGCUCUCAGACACCACCAGCAAACUGCCAGCAAACCGCCAGCAAACCGCCCUCGGCCGGCUCUGUUCUCCACCCGCCGGCUUUGCCCUGGAGUGCGCUCCCCAAGGCAGGCCUGGGAUGUUCAGCCUUUCACCUCCGUCAGAGAUGGCUUCUGAAUUGAUGGUAAAUAAUACUCAAUGGAAUCAGAGCAGCCUGAAAACUACUUAUGCAUUUAGAUGUGAAAAUGAUGUGGCAGAAAAGGAGUAGCAGUACAUAAUUUUCUUUAGAUGAUUCUGGUGAAAGGAUUUGCAUACAAUUAUCGAGACAAUUUCUGUUCCUAGCGGGAACAAACACAGGAUGAAUGAAUAUUUAUUAAGUGUCUACUGUAUGCCAGACCGUUGCUCCAGGAUCUGCAGAUACAGGAAUAACCAAAACAGUAAAAUGUGCCACCUCCGUGAAGCUUACACUCCAGGAUCAAGGCAGACAAUAAACAAACACACAAAACAUUUAUAGUGUAACAACAAGAGGGGGUAAGUUCUAUGAAAACAAUGAAGGAAUAGCACAGAAAUGACUGGGCGAUGGUGGUUCUUCCACACCCAGAUCUCCCUGAGCUACACACUGCUCAAGUCACACUAAGGACUGGCAGUUUGCCAAAAAAAUCAGGUCCUUCCUCUCUUGUUUAAUGUGUUCCAAUGGCUAUUCCCUGAGCUGAGAGAGCCUGUAGUCUUCAUCCUCACUUGCAAUUUCUAAUUUCACUGUAAGCCUCAGCUUUAGCUUUAGGUCAUUUUAGAAGACUUCUCUCAUUGGGACGAUAUCAAAAUAAAAAAUCUGUACAGAGAAGGAUAAUCAAUAAAACUAAAAAGCAACCCACCAAA